GGCUAGUCCGAGUGUAGUGGUGUUUACAGUCGAUCACAGACAGUACAGAUUUCUUUGUUCCUUCUCUACCCCCACUGCUUCACUUGAGUAGCCUAAA
ensembl:Y_RNA Y_RNA Y RNA